CACGGCUGAGAGAGAGUGGGCCAGACAUCUAUAAAGGACGAUGAUGAAAGCCAACCCAGCCCCUGUGACGCCCUUGGUUUUCAUCCAUGGCGUUAAAGCAAGAUAAAGACCUCGCAUGGGAAUAAAGUUUUCUGGGCUUGUAAGGGGAAGGAUGAUAAAUUACACUGUGGAAAACGGGGCCAGUGACUCACAGCUGGAGGUGGACUGGUUGAGUAAAUGAAAAGCAAGUCUGCACUAGUAUUUGGAAUGGAUGCCACUGUGGGUGUCAGGAGGAAGUGAAGUCACUUUCUCCUGUUCAGAAUGAAGAGCAAACAGACCUUAAAGUCUGUGUGUGCUCCACCGUGGUGCUGGCUUUUAAUAUGGCACACUAAGGGAAGAGGGAUGGACACGCACCAGGGCACAGCCACCCCGCCCCACGCACCUGCUGCCAGUGGAACACAGCUUCGGCACAUGCUAGUGCUGGGAUGAUCUAGAAGGGCUCAAGAGGCUCCCAUCUCCCAAACUGAAGACCUGGCCCCUCUCCUUCAAGUUUACAGUGGCUGAUGCAGCUGAGCGAGGAGCAGCUCUGGGGCCUGGGAGGGGAACAUCUCACUACAGGCAACGCUGGCUCCCCACUGCUGAAGAAGCUGGAAAUGGAUCUCUGUGGUUUUGAGCCAUUGCAGUUUCAAGUCUGCUGAUGACAGUGGCUGAACCUACACUAACACACAGAAUUCUGCCAACAACAAUAGCUCUGGGACAAAAUACAGACUGCCUUUUACUGAGACAUAUGUGAGGUCUGUGUGCCUGCAAUAGCUUCACCUACAUUCUAAGGCCUGGAAGAGCAGGGCUGUGAUUUGUGCUUCAGUAUUUAGGACAGCAUUUGCCUUUUCCCCUAGUUUAGUUAU
rnacentral:lncRNA from 1 species